rnacentral:tRNA from 4 species
GCACCCGUAGCUCAGCUGGAUAGAGCGCUGCCCUCCGGAGGCAGAGGUCAGAGGUUCGAAUCCUCUCGGGUGCACCA